AAGCUCAACAAAGAUCUGACUAAGUUCCAGACUGAAUCUUUCUGUACAACCAAGGAUACCACUUGAUGGCUGUCCCGAGACCCAUACGCACCGACCUCAUCACCUGUGUAUGAAGCCACCACCUCUGAAAGACAACUAGACCCCCUACCGAGCCAACUGUCCCGGAAAA